rnacentral:rRNA from 1 species
UACGUAGGGCGCAAGCGUUAUCCGGAAUUAUUGGGCGUAAAGAGCUCGUAGGUGGUUUGUCGCGUUGUUCGUGAAAUCUCACGGCUUAACUGUGAGCGUGCGGGCGAUACGGGCAGACUAGAGUACUGCAGGGGAGACUGGAAUUCCUGGUGUAGCGGUGAAAUGCGCAGAUAUCAGGAGGAACACCGGUGGCGAAGGCGGGUCUCUGGGCCGAUAUUGACGCUGAGGAGCGAAAGCGUGGGGAGCGAACAGG